rnacentral:rRNA from 1 species
GGGAAGUGAAACAUCUCAGUACCCACAGGAAGAGAAAACAAACGUGAUUCCGUUAGUAGUGGCGAGCGAAAGCGGAUCAGGCUAAACCAUUAAUGUGCCAAGCCGGCAGGUUUUGCAUUAAUGGUGUCGAGGGAUCGACUCGAAUUAACUGCCGUUAAUUCAACAAGUCAGAAAUUAAUGAAGUAGGUGAACGACGUGGGAAAGUCGGGCGUAGAAGGUGAGACCCCUGUAACCGAAACUUCUUUAACUUGUAGUUGAUAUCCCAAGUAAUACCGGACUCGUGAAAUCCGGUAUGAAUCUGGCGGGACCACCCGCUAAGCCUAAAUAUUCUCUGGUGACCGAUAGUGAACAAGUACCGUGAGGGAAAGGUGAAAAGAACCCCGCAAGGGGAGUGAAAUAGAAUCUGAAACCGUCUGCAUACAAGCCGUUGGAGCUACAUUAAGUAGUGACAGCGUGCCUUUUGAAGAAUGAGUCUACGAGUUAGUGUCAUGUGGCAAGGUUAACCCGUCGAGGGGAAGCCGUAGCGAAAGCGAGUCUGAAUAGGGCGAAUAAGUCGCAUCAUCUAAACCCGAAGCGAGGUGAUCUCGCCAUGACCAGGUUGAAGCGCGGGUAAGACCGCGUGGAGGACCGAACCCACUAAAGUUGAAAAUUUAGGGGAUGAGUUGUGGCUAGGGGUGAAAGACCAAUCAAACUUCGUGAUAGCUGGUUCUCUCCGAAAUGCAUUUAGGUGCAGCGUCACGUGUUUCUUACUGGAGGUAGAGCUACUGGAUGGCCGAGGGGUCCUACAAGAUUACCAACGUCAGCCAAACUCCGAAUGCCAGUAAGUGAGAACGUGGCAGUGAGACAGUGGGGGAUAAGCUUCAUUGUCGAGAGGGAAACAACCCAGAACAGCAACUAAGGUCCCAAAGCCUGUGCUAAGUGGAAAAGGAUGUGAAGUCGCAUAGACAACCAGGAGGUUGGCUUAGAAGCAGCCACCCUUAAAAGAGUGCGUAAUAGCUCACUGGUCAAGUGAUUUCGCGCCGACAAUGUAACGGGGCUCAAGCACAGCACCGAAGUUCUGUCAUUCACACACUAUCCCGGUCGCAAGAUCCAGGAGUGUGGAUGGGUAGGAGAGCGUUGUGUAACUAGUGAAGCGGCGGAGGAAUCCAGCCGUGGAAGUUACACAAGUGAGAAUGUAGACAUGAGUAGCGAAAGACGGGUGAGAAACCCGUCCACCGAAUGACCAAGGGUUCCUGAGCCAGGCUAAUCCGCUCAGGGUAAGUCGGGUCCUAAGGCGAGGCCGACAGGCGUAGUCGAUGGACAACUGGUUGAUAUUCCAGUACCCGCAAUAAACCGUCCAUGACGAAUCAAUAAUGCUAAGUGUUUGAAGUUGGCUAGCAAUAGCUGAUGGAGCGCACGACCCAAGUUGGUAGUAGUCAAGCAAUGGAGAGACGCAGGAAGGUAGUCCAACCCAGGCGAUGGUUGACCUGGGGUAAGAGUGUAGGAGGUUCUGUAGGCAAAUCCGCAGAACAAUCUCUGAGACUUAAUGCCGAGCCGUAAGGCGAAGUGGAUGAUCCUAUGCUGCCAAGAAAAUCUUCUAGCGAGGUUUAUAGCGGCCCGUACCCGAAACCGACUCAGGUGGUCAGGUAGAGAAUACCAAGGUGAUCGAGAGAAUCGUGGUGAAGGAACUCGGCAAAAUACCCCCGUAACUUCGGGAGAAGGGGGGCUAAUUUUUGUGUAGAGGUUUACCUUCGAAGCAUAAGUUAGACGCAGAGAAUAGGCUCAAGCGACUGUUUACCAAAAACACAGGUCCGUGCGAAGUUGCAAAACGAUGUAUACGGACUGACGCCUGCCCGGUGCUGGAAGGUCAAGGGGACUGGUUAGCUCUUCGGAGCGAAGCCGAGAACUUAAGCCCCAGUAAACGGCGGUGGUAACUAUAACCAUCCUAAGGUAGCGAAAUUCCUUGUCGGGUAAGUUCCGACCUGCACGAAU